rnacentral:rRNA from 1 species
GACGAACGCUGGCGGCGUGCCUAAUACAUGCAAGUAGAGCGCUGAAGGAGGAGCUUGCUUCUCUGGAUGAGUUGCGAACGGGUGAGUAACGCGUAGGUAACCUGCCUGGUAGCGGGGGAUAACUAUUGGAAACGAUAGCUAAUACCGCAUAACAGUAGAUAUCGCAUGAUAUCUACUUGAAAGGUGCAAUUGCAUCACUACCAGAUGGACCUGCGUUGUAUUAGCUAGUUGGUGAGGUAACGGCUCACCAAGGCGACGAUACAUAGCCGACCUGAGAGGGUGAUCGGCCACACUGGGACUGAGACACGGCCCAGACUCCUACGGGAGGCAGCAGUAGGGAAUCUUCGGCAAUGGACGGAAGUCUGACCGAGCAACGCCGCGUGAGUGAAGAAGGGUUUCGGAUCGUAAAGCUCUGUUGUAAGAGAAGAACGAGUGUGAGAGUGGAAAGUUCACACUGUGACGGUAUCUUACCAGAAAGGGACGGCUAACUACGUG